rnacentral:rRNA from 1 species
GACGAACGCUGGCGGCGGGCUUAACACAUGCAAGUCGAACGGAAAGGCCAUGCUUUCGGUGGGAGCCCGAGUGGUGAACGGGUGAGUAAUACGUGUGUAAUCUGCACAACACAUUGGGAUAACUUCUGGUAACUGGGGCGCAUAUCGGAUAGGAGCUCCAGCUGCAAGGUGUGGGUCGGAAAGUUUCGGCGGAUGGGGAUGGGUUCGGGGCUUAUCAGCUUGUUGGGUGGGUAGUGGCUUACCAAGGCUUUGACAGGUAGCCGGCCUGAGAUGGUGGCCGGCCACGUUGGAACGGGGAUGCGGCACGGACUCAUACGGGAGGGGAGGGUGGGGAAGGUUGCACUAUGGGCGGAGGCCUAGUCUAGCAAAGCCACGUGGGGGAAGAGGGCCUUCGGGUUGUGUUGUACAUUCGCCUGGGACGGAACGUUAAUGACGGUACUGGGUGAAUAAGCACCGGCUAACUACGUG